CUGGCUCAGGAUGAACGCUAGCGGCAGGCUUAACACAUGCAAGUCGAGGGGCAUCGGGAGUAGCAAUACUUGCCGGCGACCGGCGCAAGGGUGCGUAACGCGUGAGCAACAUGCCCGUAUCAGGGGGAUAAUCCAUGGAAACGUGGUCUAAUACCCCAUAGUAAUUAUGUAAGGCAUCUUAUAUAAUUUAAAGCUUUGGUGGAUACGGAUUGGCUCGCGUGACAUUAGCUAGAUGGUAAGGUAACGGCUUACCAUGGCUACGAUGUCUAGGGGUUCUGAGAGGAAGGUCCCCCCACACUGGAACUGAGACACGGUCCAGACUCCUACGGGAGGCAGCAGUGAGGAAUAUUGGACAAUGGAUGGAAAUCUGAUCCAGCCAUGCCGCGUGCAGGAAAGACGGCCCUAUGGGUUGUAAACUGCUUUUGUAUGGGAGCAAUAAGGGCUACGCGUAGUCCGAUGAGAGUACCAUACGAAUAAGCACCGGCUAACUCCGUGCCAGCAGCGGC
rnacentral:rRNA from 1 species